GACGAACGCUGGCGGCGCGCCUAACACAUGCAAGUCGAACGGAGCUGAGAGAAGCUUGCUUUUCUUAGCUUAGUGGCGAACGGGUGAGUAACGCGUGAGUAACCUGCCCUGGAGUGGGGGACAACAGUUGGAAACGACUGCUAAUACCGCAUAAGCCCACGAUCCGGCAUCGGAUUGAGGGAAAAGGAUUUAUUCGCUUCAGGAUGGACUCGCGUCCAAUUAGCUAGUUGGUGAGGUAACGGCCCACCAAGGCGACGAUUGGUAGCCGGACUGAGAGGUUGAACGGCCACAUUGGGACUGAGACACGGCCCAGACUCCUACGGGAGGCAGCAGUGGGGGAUAUUGCACAAUGGGGGAAACCCUGAUGCAGCGACGCCGCGUGGAGGAAGAAGGUUUUCGGAUUGUAAACUCCUGUCGUUAGGGACGAUAAUGACGGUACCUAGCAAGAAAGCACCGGCUAACUACGUG
rnacentral:rRNA from 1 species